rnacentral:rRNA from 1 species
UACGGAGGAUCCAAGCGUUAUCCGGAAUUACUGGGCGUAAAGGGCUCGUAGGCGGCCAACUAAGUCAGACGUGAAAUCCCUCGGCUUAACCGGGGAACUGCGUCUGAUACUGGAUGGCUUGAAUCCGGGAGAGGGAUGCGGAAUUCCAGGUGUAGCGGUGAAAUGCGUAGAUACCUGGAGGAACACCGGUGGCGAAGGCGGCAUCCUGGACCGGCAUUGACGCUGAGGAGCGAAAGCCAGGGGAGCAAACGGG